UUAAGCGACUAAGCGUACACGGUGGAUGCCAUGGCAGUCAGAGGCGAUGAAGGACGUGCUAAUCUGCGAUAAGCGUCGGUAAGGUGAUAUGAACCGUUAUAACCGGCGAUUUCCGAAUGGGGAAACCCAGUGUGAUUCGUCACACUAUCAUUAACUGAAUCCAUAGGUUAAUGAGGCGAACCGGGGGAACUGAAACAUCUAAGUACCCCGAGGAAAAGAAAUCAAACCGAGAAUUCCCUCAGUAGCGGCGAGCGAACGGGGAGCAGCCCAGAGUCUGAAUCAGUGUGUGUGUUAGUGGAAGCGUCUGGAAAGGCGCGCGUUACAGGGUGACAGCCCCGUACACAAAAAUGCACAUGCUGUGAGCUCGAUGAGUAGGGCGGGACACGUGGUAUCCUGUCUGAAUAUGGGGGGACCAUCCUCCAAGGCUAAAUACUCCUGACUGACCGAUAGUGAACCAGUACCGUGAGGGAAAGGCGAAAAGAACCCCGGCGAGGGGAGUGAAAAAGAACCUGAAACCGUGUACGUACAAGCAGUGGGAGCCUCUUUUAUGGGGUGACUGCGUACCUUUUGUAUAAUGGGUCAGCGACUAAUAUUCUGUAGCAAGGUUAACCGAAUAGGGGAGCCGAAGGGAAACCGAGUCUUAACUGGGCGUUAAGUUGCAGGGUAUAGACCCGAAACCCGGUGAUCUAGCCAUGGGCAGGUUGAAGGUUGGGUAACACUAACUGGAGGACCGAACCGACUAAUGUUGAAAAAUUAGCGGAUGACUUGUGGCUGGGGGUGAAAGGCCAAUCAAACCGGGAGAUAGCUGGUUCUCCCCGAAAGCUAUUUAGGUAGCGCCUCGUGAAUUCAUCUCCGGGGGUAGAGCACUGUUUCGGCAAGGGGGUCAUCCCGACUUACCAACCCGAUGCAAACUGCGAAUACCGGAGAAUGUUAUCACGGGAGACACACGGCGGGUGCUAACGUCCGUCGUGAAGAGGGAAACAACCCAGACCGCCAGCUAAGGUCCCAAAGUCAUGGUUAAGUGGGAAACGAUGUGGGAAGGCCCAGACAGCCAGGAUGUUGGCUUAGAAGCAGCCAUCAUUUAAAGAAAGCGUAAUAGCUCACUGGUCGAGUCGGCCUGCGCGGAAGAUGUAACGGGGCUAAACCAUGCACCGAAGCUGCGGCAGCGACGCUUAUGCGUUGUUGGGUAGGGGAGCGUUCUGUAAGCCUGUGAAGGUGUGCUGUGAGGCAUGCUGGAGGUAUCAGAAGUGCGAAUGCUGACAUAAGUAACGAUAAAGCGGGUGAAAAGCCCGCUCGCCGGAAGACCAAGGGUUCCUGUCCAACGUUAAUCGGGGCAGGGUGAGUCGACCCCUAAGGCGAGGCCGAAAGGCGUAGUCGAUGGGAAACAGGUUAAUAUUCCUGUACUUGGUGUUACUGCGAAGGGGGGACGGAGAAGGCUAUGUUGGCCGGGCGACGGUUGUCCCGGUUUAAGCGUGUAGGCUGGUUUUCCAGGCAAAUCCGGAAAAUCAAGGCUGAGGCGUGAUGACGAGGCACUACGGUGCUGAAGCAACAAAUGCCCUGCUUCCAGGAAAAGCCUCUAAGCAUCAGGUAACAUCAAAUCGUACCCCAAACCGACACAGGUGGUCAGGUAGAGAAUACCAAGGCGCUUGAGAGAACUCGGGUGAAGGAACUAGGCAAAAUGGUGCCGUAACUUCGGGAGAAGGCACGCUGAUAUGUAGGUGAAGCGACUUGCUCGUGGAGCUGAAAUCAGUCGAAGAUACCAGCUGGCUGCAACUGUUUAUUAAAAACACAGCACUGUGCAAACACGAAAGUGGACGUAUACGGUGUGACGCCUGCCCGGUGCCGGAAGGUUAAUUGAUGGGGUCAGCGCAAGCGAAGCUCUUGAUCGAAGCCCCGGUAAACGGCGGCCGUAACUAUAACGGUCCUAAGGUAGCGAAAUUCCUUGUCGGGUAAGUUCCGACCUGCACGAAUGGCGUAAUGAUGGCCAGGCUGUCUCCACCCGAGACUCAGUGAAAUUGAACUCGCUGUGAAGAUGCAGUGUACCCGCGGCAAGACGGAAAGACCCCGUGAACCUUUACUAUAGCCUGACACUGAACAUUGAGCCUUGAUGUGUAGGAUAGGUGGGAGGCUUUGAAGUGUGGACGCCAGUCUGCAUGGAGCCGACCUUGAAAUACCACCCUUUAAUGUUUGAUGUUCUAACGUUGGCCCCUAAUCGGGGUUGCGGACAGUGUCUGGUGGGUAGUUUGACUGGGGCGGUCUCCUCCUAAAGAGUAACGGAGGAGCACGAAGGUUGGCUAAUCCUGGUCGGACAUCAGGAGGUUAGUGCAAUGGCAUAAGCCAGCUUGACUGCGAGCGUGACGGCGCGAGCAGGUGCGAAAGCAGGUCAUAGUGAUCCGGUGGUUCUGAAUGGAAGGGCCAUCGCUCAACGGAUAAAAGGUACUCCGGGGAUAACAGGCUGAUACCGCCAAGAGUUCAUAUCGACGGCGGUGUUUGGCACCUCGAUGUCGGCUCAUCACAUCCUGGGGCUGAAGUAGGUCCCAAGGGUAUGGCUGUUCGCCAUUUAAAGUGGUACGCGAGCUGGGUUUAGAACGUCGUGAGACAGUUCGGUCCCUAUCUGCCGUGGGCGCUGGAGAACUGAGGGGGGCUGCUCCUAGUACGAGAGGACCGGAGUGGACGCAUCACUGGUGUUCGGGUUGUCAUGCCAAUGGCACUGCCCGGUAGCUAAAUGCGGAAGAGAUAAGUGCUGAAAGCAUCUAAGCACGAAACUUGCCCCGAGAUGAGUUCUCCCUGACUCCUUGAGAGUCCUGAAGGAACGUUGAAGACGACGACGUUGAUAGGCCGGGUGUGUAAGCGCAGCGAUGCGUUGAGCUAACCGGUACUAAUGAACCGUGAGGCUUAACCUU
rnacentral:rRNA from 1 species